GACGAACGCUGGCGGCGUGCUUAACACAUACAAGUCGAACGGUGAAAGCGGAGCUUGCUCCGCUGGAUCAGUGGCGAACGGGUGAGUAACACGUGGGCAACCUGCCCCUGACUUCGGGAUAACUCCUCGAAAGAGGUGCUAAUACCGGAUACGAAUCCUGCAGGCAUCUGCGGGAUUGGAAAGUUUUUCGGUCAGGGAUGGGCCCGCGGCCUAUCAGCUUGUUGGGGAGGUAGUGGCUCACCAAGGCGAGGACGGGUGGCCGGCCGGAGAGGGCGACGGGCAACACGGGGACGGAGACACGGCCCAGACUCCUAGGGGAGGCAGCAGUGGGGAAUAUUGCGCAAGGGGCGAAAGCCUGACGCAGCAACGCCGCAUGAGGGAUGACGGCCUUCGGGUUGUAAACCUCUUUCAGCAGGGAAGAAGCGAAAGUGACGGUACCUGCAGAAGAAGCACCGGCUAACUACGUGCCAGCCGCCGCCGUAA
rnacentral:rRNA from 1 species